rnacentral:rRNA from 1 species
GAUCCUGGCUCAGGACGAACGCUGGCGGCGUGCUUAACACAUGCAAGUCGAACGCUGAAGCCCAGCUUGCUGGGUGGAUGAGUGGCGAAUGGGUGAGUAACACGUGAGUAACCUGCCCCCUUCUUUGGGAUAACGCCCGGAAACGGGUGCUAAUACUGGAUAUUCACUGAUCUUCGCAUGGGGGUUGGUGGAAAGGUUUUUUCUGGUGGGGGAUGGGCUCGCGGCCUAUCAGCUUGUUGGUGGGGUGA